rnacentral:rRNA from 1 species
UACGGGGGGGAGCAAGCGUUGUUCGGAUUUACUGGGCGUAAAGGGCGCGUAGGCGGCCACUGCAAGUCAGUUGUGAAAUCUCCGGGCUUAACUCGGAAAGGUCAACUGAUACUGUGCGACUAGAGUGCAGAAGGGGCAACUGGAAUUCUCGGUGUAGCGGUGAAAUGCGUAGAUAUCGAGAGGAACACCUGCGGCGAAGGCGGGUUGCUGGGCUGACACUGACGCUGAUGCGCGAAAGCCAGGGGAGCGAACGGG